GUUCACCUUUAAUGUUUUAGGGACUGCUGUGUUGUCUUCAAGGUCCUGUACCCUGGGACUCAGGAGCACCUCUUGUGUGACUGCAGGAGGAUCUCAGAGUCUGCUGUGGCAGAGGCGACCUCUGGAAACCUGGCUAACAACAGUGCCUCAAGAAACAAGGUCAACAAAGACAUGACCAUCAAGUUAGACUUGUGUCACUGCGUGUGGUGGUUUGAUCAGUGGGCUGCUAUAUUUCAGGUCUGCGGAACACCAUCUCUGAACCAACAACACGUGGAACCUUGAAGCAGAUGGGCUACAGCAGCAGAAGACCACACCAUGUGCCACUCCUGUCAGCUAACCACAGGAAACUGAGGCUACAGUUGGCACAGGCUCCCCAAAACUGGACAAUAGAAGAUUGGAAAAACGUCACCUGGUCUGAUGAGUCUGGAUUUCUGCUGCAACUUUCAGAUGACUGAGAAGAUGUCACAGUGAUGCAGUGACAGCAGAGGACGUCAACAGCUUGUCUGAAGGACGAAAGAAGUUUCUGGAUUUCCUCUGGAGGGACUGGGAGUGGUAUCCACCAUGGGGUUAGGUAUCCAGAGGACGCAGUUAUGUUCCCCGAGUCAGAAGAUUUAGAUCUGCGUCUGCUGACAAACUCUGUGAUGCAGAAGCGUUGUCGAAACAAUGACAAGACAUAUUUCUUGUUCGACAUCAUCAGCGCUCAUCAUCAUUAUAAUGACAAAUAAUAAUAAUAAUAUGGGAAAUCAACAUAAUAAUGAUUAUGACACUACUACUACAAAUAAUAACAAUAAUAAUAAUUAUGGCCCAAAAUUAUGUGAAAAUUCUGUUUCAAUUCAACAUCUCCAGCAGCUCCACAGCACCGAAGCCCUCUUAAAACGUAGGGAAAACCCUGGAAGCCAGUGUGAAUAUGAGGGCUGUCGGGGCUCUGCUUUAGAGGCUGGUGACAGAACCUGCACAGGUGACCUGUUGGCAGCUGCACCUCAGACUUCCUCUCUGCCAUCUCUUCUGCCACCUUCCUCCACUCAGCCGACCUCUGUUUGGCGGCCUCCAGCUCCCACUCAAAGAACAGAGAUGCAGUAAGGUCCUGGAAGGACAUGCGAGGGUCUGUGAGGCCCUCAGCUGCGUAGGUCUGAAACACCUUUUGGAGCAGUAGAAGUAUUUCACAGUUUUUGACUGAUAAAAAAAAAAUUAACUGAAGAGCCGUCGCAGAGAUAUUGGGACUUUGGCUGACCACAGGCUACACAGUUCCUGGUUUUCUUCUCCUUCUGCUGCUCCUGCUGCUCCUACUGAUGUUACUGGAGUUCCUCCAGAAUGUCUUUCACAAUCUUCUCCACUGUGGCCCGGCUCAGUGACUCAGAGCCACAGGUAGAGGGUUGAAAGUGGCAGGGGGCAAGGUUACAACUGGCACAGUGGCUGUUUGGUUGUUUGUGGCCAAACUCUGCUGCUGUGCC